AACGAACGCUGGCGGCAGGCCUAACACAUGCAAGUCGAGCGAGGACUUCGGUUCUAGCGGCGGACGGGUGAGUAACGCGGGGGAAUGUGCCCUUGUCUACGGAAUAGCCCUGGGAAACAGGGAGUAAUACCGGAUACGCUCUAUCGGGGGAAGAUUUAACGGAGAAGGAGCAGCCCGCGUUGGAUUAGGUAGUUGGGGGGGUAAGGGCCUACCAAGCCGACGUGCCAUAGCUGGUUUGUGAGGAUGGUCCGCCACACUGGGGCUGAGACACGGCCCGGACUCCUACGGGAGGCAGCAGUGGGGGAUCUUGGCCUGUGGGGGCAAUCCUGAUCUACCCCUGCCGCGUGAGUGAUGAAGGCCUUAGGGUUGUGCAGCUCUUUCAGCUGGGGAGAUAUUGACGGUUCCAGCAGAAGAAGCCCCGGCUAACUCCGUG
rnacentral:rRNA from 1 species